UACGUAGGGUGCGAGCGUUGUCCGGAAUUACUGGGCGUAAAGAGCUUGUAGGUGGUUUGUCGCGUUGUUCGUGAAAUCUCACGGCUUAACUGUGAGCGUGCGGGCGAUACGGGCAGACUAGAGUACUGCAGGGGAGACUGGAAUUCCAGGUGUAGCGGUGAAAUGCGUAGAUAUCUGGAGGAACAUCAGUGGCGAAGGCGGCUUCCUGGUCCAACACUGACACUGAGGUGCGAAAGCGUGGGGAGCAAACAGG
rnacentral:rRNA from 1 species